rnacentral:rRNA from 1 species
AACGAACGCUGGCGGCAUGCCUAACACAUGCAAGUCGAACGAAGGCUUCGGCCUUAGUGGCGCACGGGUGCGUAACGCGUGGGAAUCUGCCCUUGGCUUCGGAAUAACAGCUAGAAAUGACUGCUAAUACCGGAUGAUGACGAAAGUCCAAAGAUUUAUCGGCCAGGGAUGAGCCCGCGUAGGAUUAGGUAGUUGGUGGGGUAAAGGCCUACCAAGCCGACGAUCCUUAGCUGGUCUGAGGGGAUGAUCAGCCACACUGGGACUGAGACACGGCCCAGACUCCUACGGGAGGCAGCAGUGGGGAAUAUUGGACAAUGGGGGAAACCCUGAUCCAGCAAUGCCGCGUGAGUGAUGAAGGCCUUAGGGUUGUAAAGCUCUUUUACCCGGGAUGAUAAUGACAGUACCGGGAGAAUAAGCUCCGGCUAACUCCGUGCCAGCCGCCGCGGUAAUAC